CAUUAAAUGGCUGAAACGUAAGUAAAGGUUUCUUAAACCUUAAUAUAAUUAAUUAACAAUAAUUUUUAAUGU
rnacentral:tRNA from 1 species